rnacentral:rRNA from 1 species
GACGAACGCUGGCGGCGUGCUUAACACAUGCAAGUCGAACGGAGUGGCGAACGGGUGAGUACCACGUGGGUGAUCUGCCUUGCACUUCGGGAUAAGGUUGGGAAAAUGGGUCUAAUACCGGAUAGUGCAAGAUGAGCUCGCGGCCUAUCAGCUUGUUGGGGGGGUAAUGGCCUACAAAGGCGUCGACGGGUAGCCGCCAUGGGAGGGUGUACGGCCACAUUGGGACUGAGAGACGGCCCAGACUCCUACGGGAGGCAGCAGUGGGGAAUAUUGCACAAUAGGCGGAAGCCUGAUGCAGCGACGCCGCGUGGGGGAUGAAGGCCUUCGGGUUGUAAACUCCUUUCGACAGGGACGCGGUACCUGUAUAAGAAGCACCGGCUAACUCCGUGCCAGCAGCCGCGGUAAUUC